CAUGUUUUGUCUGUUGCUGGGCUUUCCAUUUGGCCCGUUAAUCUUUAGAGUUUCCUGCUUCAUCUUUCUCAUUCUCUGUCGGCUCCAGCUUCCCGAAAGUUCCUUUUUUACUCGAUCUGUUCGACUCCUCCACGUUCUCCACUGAUGUUGCGAUUCCUCUUCCUGUAAUAUGUGUUAUAUAUUCAAGAUGAGUGGGCUUUAACCUGAAGUUGAGAUAUAUCUACGUUCUCUGUAACCGAAUAUUCACAUUCAAAGCGAUCAUAUUGCCCGACAGAGAUAUUGCCCACUGAUUUUUAAUCUUCUUCUUCCUCCCACGGGUGUACUCUCUUUCUCUGUUGUUUCGUGUAGAUCUUUAGCGGUGGUGAUGGCGAGGCUGUCGCAGAGAUUAUUACUGCGAGGAAAUGGUCGACAUUGAUGCUGGUUCAUGGUGACGAUCUUUCUCUUGAUGCUUUUGGAUUUUGGGGUUUUCUCUCUUCUGAUUAAUAACAACGACGAAUCUUCUCUGAUGGAUCUCUCUUAUUUCCGACGAGCUGCGACUGAGAGAGGUGAGGAGGGACUUGGGAAGAGAGGAGAUCAGUGGACUGAAGUGCUCUCUUGGAAAUCUAGAGCUUUCGUCUGCCACAACUUCUUGUCGAAGGAAGAAUGUUAGUAUCUUGCCAAACCACAUAUGGUUAAGUCAACUGUUGUUGAUAGCCAGACCUGGAAGAGCAAAGAGAGCAGGGUGCAUACAAGCUCAGGGACUUUCGUUAGGAAUGGAAGGGACAAAAUCAUUAAGACAACUGAGAGAAGAAUUGCAUAUUACACCUUUAAUCCAGCAGAUCAUGGAAUACGCAAAAUAUAUACACUAAAAAGAGGCCACAUUGAUGAUCUCCCUCUCAGCCGCUCAUCUCCGCUAUUGGCUUGCCGAAGCACUAAGUAACCUGAAUAUAACGUUAAGGUCAAACUCUCUCAGUUUCCCAAGUUCAGGUAUGUAAAAUUACAAUGGAGUUCUUGAUUCUUUCACCAAAGGUAAUGUUUAUUUCUCUAUAUUACACCAUCACUAAAACCUAUUGCAACAGUUUCUGUAUCAAAUAGUUUAAUCAGACAUAAUAAAUUGACUUAUACUCUUUUGUAUGUUCUGGAACACAAUGCGGGUUUCGAAUGUAGUUCUGGAACAAUGCGGGAUUUGAAUGUAGUUCUAAAUGCUCUGUAUGAGCAGAAUGACAAGCCUUCCUCUGCUUUAGAAUUCAUCCAGCAGAAGCUAGGAGGUCCUUCAGUUUCUGAUUACAAGAAGCUUCAUUCUGAGAAGUCUGAUUUUCAAAUAAAGUACAAUGAGGUUUUCGCUAAACAUCAAGGAACGUUGAGAGGGGUAUCCCGUCCUAACUUGAAUAUAAAAUUUUAUCAGUAAACCAUAUAUAGAAUUUCUAUAUGAUUGGUUGGAAUGGUAAUGGAGUGUACAGAGUACUAAAGAUAGAGCGGCUUGAUGCGUCGGAGCUUAACCUCAGUGAGGAUUCCACAUGCCAAAAAAGAAUGCUACGAGAUGCUUAAACGGAUACACGAAGGAAGCAAGGCCACAUGCGGCCUCAAACUUGUCACUCUCUGUUAUGGCAUCAUUGGUUUGUGUUCUUUUGUUUCAAGUUAUGUUCACUGAAACGUACAUUAUUUUACUUUUGCAGCGUGUUCUCACAAUUUUUUUUUCCUUUCUUCCCAUUUUUGUGGUCUCUGGAUUGAUUAAAGUUUUUGUGGCCAUACUACAUGCUGGUUAUCACUGACAGAAGAGAGAUAUGCGAAUUUGUGGUCACAGGGUGUAUGAAGUGUCCAAGAGUGAGAUCAUUUCUGUGCGAAAUUCUAGCGUGCUUUGCAACUUGGCAAACUUGAGAGACGAGAACAGGCACAAGAGGCUCCUGUAGUCCUGUGUAUGGUGGACCUUGCGAAAGGCUUCUUUAUGAUGCGUAGUUUCUAGAAGAAUAUAUGUGAAAUAAGCGUGGUAGUGCUCUCUGUAAAAAAAUGUUUCUGUGAAACGAGUUAUUGGCUUUUAUUAGCGAUAGAAACGCAGCGUCUGCGUAUAUAGCCUAAACAA